rnacentral:misc_RNA from 1 species
ACCCUUGUGGAGGAGGACGCCGAAGGUGGGGCUAAUGACUGGGGUGAAGUCGUAACAAGGUAGCCGUACCGGAAGGUGCGGCUGGAUCACCUCCUAACAGGGAGACAACAAAAUGUUUAAUAUUAUUAUUUUGUCACCUUAGGUCGAUCGGUAUCUCACGUUCUUAAUUUGUUAAGAAUUUCAUUUCCUAAGUUUUUCUAGGUCACACCCAUUAUUUUUCCUGGGCCAUUAGCUCAGGUGGUUAGAGCGCACCCCUGAUAAGGGUGAGGUCCCUGGUUCAAGUCCAGGAUGGCCCAUAUCUCUAUGUUGGGGGUAUAGCUCAGUUGGUAGAGCGCCUGCUUUGCAAGCAGGAUGUCAGCGGUUCGAGUCCGCUUACCUCCACUGAUCACCACCUCUUCCAUAACCGGUAGAAAGGAAAUGUUUUGAAGUGUGAUCAUUAUUCUGAACGAAUCUAGCUUCCUAAUGAAAUCAUUAAGAUGCUGGACUCAUUGAAUUAAUUUCAUUGUUUUCAGAGAACCUUGACAACUGCAUAGAUUAUUUUUAAAGACAAUAAGCAUCUUUAAUGAUGCAGAUUUAUUAUUUGUGCGAAUGCAUUAAUAACAAUUCUAUUAAGCUGAUGCUUCAAUUUUUGAAGUUAUUGGUCAAGCUACAAAGGGCUCACGGAGGAUACCUAGGCACACAGA